GUGCUUGCCUCAGCAGCACAUAUAUUAAAUUGGAAUGGCACAGAGCCUGUUAGCAUGGCCCCUCUGUAAUCCUAACAUGCAAAUCCUGGAAGCAUUCUAAAGGUGU
rnacentral:snRNA from 1 species